UAAGGGGGUGGUGGAGAUUUGUAAACUGGUGGAGGAGGCGGUGGUGACUUAUACUUGUAAACGGGUGGUGGUGGGGAUUUGUAGACUGGAGGAGGUGGUGGAGGAGACUUGUACUUGUAAACAGGUGGUUGUGGAGAUUUGUAGACCGGAGGAGGUGGUGGUGGUGAUUUGUAUUUGUAAACGGGUGGUGGUGGAGAUUUGUAGACUGGAGGAGGUGGUGGUGGUGACUUGUAUUUGUAAACCGGAGGAGGUGGUGGAGGAGACUUAUACUUGUAAACGGGUGGUGGUGGAGACUUGUACUUAUAAACGGGUGGUGGUGGGGAUUUAUAAACGGGUGGAGGUGGUGGUGGAGACUUGUACUUAUAAACGGGUGGUGGUGGGGAUUUAUAGACCGGUGGAGGUGGUGGUGGAGACUUGUAUUUGUAAACGGGUGGUGGUGGGGACUUGUACUUGUAAACAGGUGGUGGUGGGGAUUUAUAGACCGGUGGAGGUGGUGGUGGAGACUUGUAUUUGUAAACGGGUGGUGGUGGGGACUUGUACUUGUAAACAGGUGGUGGUGGUGAUUUAUAAACUGGAGGAGGAGGUGGUGGUGACUUG
rnacentral:lncRNA from 1 species